rnacentral:rRNA from 1 species
AACGAACGCUGACGGCAGGCCUAAAACAUGCAAGUCGAACGGGUGUAGCAAUACAUCAGUGGCGCACGGGUGAGUAACGCGUGGGAACAUGCCCCUUAGUACAGGACAACGUCGGGAAACUGACGCUAAUACCGCAUAAUCUCUCCGGAUCAGAUAUUUAUCGCUGAGGGAGUGGCCCGCGUCUGAUUAGCUAGUUGGUGAGGUAAUGGCUCACCAAGGCUACGAUCAGUAGCAGGUCUGAGAGGAUGAUCGGCCACACUGGGACUGUCACACGUCCCAGACUCCUACGGGAGGCAGCAGUUAGGAAUAUUGGACAAUGGGGGAAACCCUGAUCCAGCCAUGCCGCGUGUGUGAUGAAGGCCCUAGGGUUGUAAAGCACUUUCGUUGGGGAUGAUAAUGACCGUACCCAAAGAAGAAGCCACGGCUAAAUUCGUGCCAGCCGCCGCCGUAA